rnacentral:rRNA from 1 species
UUAGGAAUAUUCGUCAAUGGGGGAAACCCUGAACGAGCAAUGCCGCGUGUGUGAUGAAGGCCCUAUGGGUUGUAAAACACUGUUGUUUGGAAAGAAUUGUAUAAGUAGGAAAUGACUUAUACUUGACGGUACCAUUCAAGAAAGCCACGGCUAACUACGUGCCAGCAGCCGCGGUAAUACGUAGGUGGCGAGCGUUAUCCGGAUUUAUUGGGCGUAAAGCGUGCGCAGGCGGUUUGUUAAGUCUAAAAUAAAAGCCCGAAGCUUAACUUCGGUUCGUUUUAGAAACUGGCAGACUCGAGUAUGGUAGAGGCAAAUGGAAUUUCUAGUGUAGCGGUAAAAUGCGUAGAUAUUAGAAGGAACACCAGUGGCGAAGGCGAUUUGCUGGGCCAUAACUGACGCU